rnacentral:rRNA from 1 species
UGGGGAAUCUUGCGCAAUGGGCGAAAGCCUGACGCAGCAACGCCGCGUGGAGGAUGAAGGUCUUUGGAUUGUAAACUCCUGUCGAGUGGGAAGAAUGGCUUGGGUGCUAAUACCAUCCAGGUUUGACUGUACCGCCGGAGGAAGCCCCGGCUAACUCCGUGCCAGCAGCCGCGGUAAUACGGAGGGGGCUAGCGUUAUUCGGAAUUAUUGGGCGUAAAGGGCGCGUAGGCGGCCCUGUAAGUCGAAGGUGAAAUCCCCGAGCUCAACUUGGGAACUGCCUUCGAUACUGCGGGGCUUGAGUCCGGGAGGGGAGAGUGGAAUUCCCAGUGUAGCGGUGAAAUGCGUAGAUAUUGGGAGGAACACCGGUGGCGAAGGCGGCUCUCUGGACCGGUUCUGACGCUGAGGCGCGAAAGCGUGGGUAGCAAACAG